rnacentral:rRNA from 1 species
CAGGCGCGAAAACUUUACAAUGCGGGAAACCGCGAUAAGGGGACACCGAGUGCCAGCAUCCUAUGUUGGCUGUCCAUAUGUAUAAAUCACAUGUGUUAGCAAGGGCCGGGCAAGACCGGUGCCAGCCGCCGCGGUAACACCGGCGGCCCGAGUGGUGGCCACUAUUAUUGGGUCUAAAGGGUCCGUAGCCGGUUUGGUCAGUCUUCCGGGAAAUCUGACGGCUUAACCGUUAGGCUUUCGGGGGAUACUACCAGGCUUGGGACCGGGAGAGGUAAGAGGUACUACGGGGGUAGGAGUGAAAUCUUGUAAUCCCCGUGGGACCACCAGUGGCGAAGGCGUCUUACCAGAACGGGUCCGACGGUGAGGGACGAAAGCUGGGGGCACGAACCGGAUUAGAUACCCGGGUAGUCCCAGCUGUAAACUAUGCUCGCUAGGUGUCAGGGACGGUGCGACCGUUUCUGGUGCCGCAGGGAAGCCGUGAAGCGAGCC